CAAUAGCGUAUAUUAAAGUUGUUGCAGUUAAAAAGCUCGUAGUUGGAUUUCUGUGAGAGUGCCGGUGUCGGCUGAUGCUUGUACGCAGGCGCUCUUACAUCCUUCUGUUAACUGUUCUUGGCAUUUUAUUGCUGGUUCAGGGCUCAGAUAUUUUACCUUGAGAAAAUUAGAGUGUUUCAGGCAGGCUUAUGCCGGAAUACAUUAGCAUGGAAUAAUGGAACAGGACCUGUGCGUCUCUCGGGGCGCCGGUCUCCGUUGUUGGUUUCGGGGACUAAUGUAAUGAUUAAUAGGGAUAGUUGGGUGCAUUAGUAUUUAAUAGUCAGAGGUGAAAUUCUCGGAUUUGUUAAAGACUAACUUAUGCGAAAGCAUUUGCCAAGGAUGUUUUCAUUAA
rnacentral:rRNA from 1 species